CCUACGGGAGACUGCAGUGGGGAAUAUUGCACAAUGGGGGAAACCCUGAUGCAGCAACGCCGCGUGAAGGAAGACGGUCUUAGGAGUGUAAACUUCUGUUUAUAGAGAAGAAAAAUGACGGUAGCGAAGGAGCAAGCAAGGGCUAACUACGUGCCAGCAGCCGAGGUAAGAGGUAGGUGGCAAGCGUUGUCCGGAAUUACGGGGGGUAAAGGGAGCGCAGGGGGGAAGCCAAGUCAGCUGUGAAAACUACGGGCUUAACUUGUAGACUGCAGUUGAAACGGGUUUUCUUGAGUGCAGUAGGGGUUGGCGGAAUUCCGUGUGUAGCGGUGCAAUGCGUAGAUAUUCGGAGGAACCCCGGUGGCGAAGGCGGCCUACUGGGCUUUAACUGACGCUGAGGCUCGAAAGUGUG
rnacentral:rRNA from 1 species